rnacentral:rRNA from 1 species
UGGGGAAUAUUGCACAAUGGGGGAAACCCUGAUGCAGCCAUGCCGCGUGUGUGAAGAAGGCCUUCGGGUUGUAAAGCACUUUCAGUUGUGAGGAAAGGGUGUGUAUUAAUAAUGCACAUUUGUGACGUUAGCAACAGAAGAAGCACCGGCUAACUCCGUGCCAGCAGCCGCGGUAAUACGGAGGGUGCGAGCGUUAAUCGGAAUUACUGGGCGUAAAGCGUACGUAGGCGGCGGAUUAAGCCAGAUGUGAAAGCCCCGGGCUCAACCUGGGAACUGCAUUUGGGACUGGUUUGCUAGAGUCUUGUAGAGGGAGGUAGAAUUUCAGGUGUAGCGGUGAAAUGCGUAGAGAUCUGAAGGAAUACCGGUGGCGAAGGCGGCCUCCUGGACAAAGACUGACGCUGAGGUACGAAAGCGUGGGGAGCAAACAGGAUUAGAUACCCUGGUAGUCCACGCUGUAAACGAUGUCUACUAGCUGUCUGUAGCUUUAAGCUGUGGGUAGCGCAGCAAACGCACUAAGUAG